GCAGUCCUUGUCUUGGGGUUGCGCUGCUGUUCGAUGAACGUCUAGUGAGAACAGUACUGCUAACACCUACACAACACAUACACAUCCCUGGGGUUUCAACCCCAAUGUGGCAAAAAUUUUGAUGAU